AUUCAACACAUCUAUCCUUUGCAUUGUGUAUGGACUGAGGCUCAAGGAAUCCAUACACCGAACCAUGACCCGAACUUGAGCUCCACUCAUCCAUAAACCUAUUUUUGACAUUUGAAAUGAAAAUUGAUGAUGAUGUAUAUCAUAAGGAAUAUUAAUUAUUAGUCAAUGGUAUGAAAUUUACUUACAUCAUCCAUAAUUGUAGUAUAGCUAUGUUCAAACAUUUUUCACCUGAUAUUAUUUCAUUUACAUCAGAAUAUGUUAAGAAGAAGGAAGCAUCUACAUUUAGAAUCUCAAAUUUAGUCCCAUCCCACAACAACUCAACAGGCUUCUAG
rnacentral:lncRNA from 1 species